GGGGCUUUAGCUCAGUUGGUAGAGCAUCUGCUUUGCAAGCAGAGGGUCAGCGGUUCGAAUCCGCUAAGCUCCACCA
rnacentral:tRNA from 3 species